rnacentral:lncRNA from 1 species
GAGCGAAUUGCCUAUCAUAAUAAAUGCUUAGUGAUUAAAGCAGCUACCUGCCAUGGUCAGCAAGGGUGGGGGAUGAGGGAAGAAGAAAUCAGCUUCCAAUGAGAAAACUAAGGCACCAAGAGACUUUUGUUUUAACAGUUUGCUCCACAUGCACACCUUAUCAGGACUGUAAUUUUAAAACUUUUUUUCAAGUAGUUUAUUAUAACAACAUUCAAUGAUGACUAUCUCAUUCAACACAUAGUUAUAGCAAAAGUAAUCAUGACUGAUUUCUUUUCAGGCACAAUGUAUGUAUCAAAAUAGGGAAAAGGCCUCUUUUUUCCUUUAAAAACAAACCUUUACUGGAACUCUUUUUUUUUUUUUUUUUUUUGAGAUGGAGUCCCGCUCUGUUGCCAGGCUGGAGUGCAGUGGUGUGAUCUCAGCUCACUGAAACCUCUGCCUCCCAGGUUCAAGUGAUUCUCCUGUCUCAGCCCCCUGAGUAGCUGGGAUUACAGGCACAUGCCACUAUGCCUGGCUAAUUUUUGUAUUUUUAGUAGAGACAGGGUUUCACCAUGUUGGCCAGGAUGGUCUCAAUCUCCUGACCUCGUGGUCGGCCUGCCUUGGCCUCCCAAAGUGCUGGGAUUACGGGGGUGAGCCACUGUGCCCGGCUACUGGAACUCUUUGAAAAUUCAUUUAUAUAAGUCAUAUCUCAAAACAUUAUAAUAAUGUUAUAUUAUUAUUAUAAAUAAAAUCAUACAACACCAGAGUAUACAGAGUAAACAGUUAAAAUUCCCUCCUCGGAGGUAAUCACUGUUCUGCUCACUUUCAGAUCCUUUGUAUGGGGGUCAUAGUUAUUCUGGGAUCUAUAUACAUACACAGCAUGUCUUUCAUUGUGUUUUCUCUUGUAUUCUUACAUUAGUAGGAUCAUUCUAUUGUAUUGUAACUUGUACUUGUUAACUUAAGGUUUUAUUAAAAUUCUUUUUAACCUAUUAAAUUCAAAGUCACACUGUGGUAUUCCCAACUACUAUAUUAAAAUUAAAUUUGAUGCUACAUUGACCCUAGGGAUGUUAACUAUUUUGAGGAAUCAAACUGCUUAUCUAAGUGAAACAAAUGAACUAUUUCAGUUUUCUAAUAUAAAUUCUAAUUUUUCUCAAAAGUGCAGAGAAUUACAUUUUCCCUUUUCUUUUCAGACUGAUUCAUUUGAGCCUGACACCAAAAAUAAUUAUUUUUUUAAAUAUCCAAGCAAAAUUAAAUCCAGUUCUAAUCCUAUUCUCAAAAUGACCUUAAUAUUUUCUUUUUGCCUUGGUAUUACCCUGCCUCCUCCAUAGAUGUGUGUUAAAGGAAAGGCUGGAAGGGAAAAACUAGUUUCAGCCACCCAAUUUUUGCUUAUAUUUGUUUUCAAAUCCAAGUGGCCUUUGCUUUUCAGUAGCAAAGGUCCUCUCUCCUGCUCCAUCACUGGUCUGUAAAGUAAAUUGCAAAAAGCUACCAAAGUCUGGCUACACCCUCAUAGCGACUGUUUAAACCCAUUACUUUCUCUUUUAAUCAAAUCACUGUUGUGUCAAAAUAUACGAUUCUCGCCAUGAAUCUCCCCAGCUUGUUACAGGUCACCGGUUGCACCUUGAAAAUGUUUGCUCUCCUAAGCGUCUUCUCUCCAGCCUCCAGCUAAAUUGCUCCACACCAAGCCUGAUCAUUUUUCUAUACACAUGGACCUCUAAUUGAUAUAAACAUAAUGGCAACGAGAACCUGUACUUUACAAAGAGAGGAAAGGAAAAUACCUGGUCAGUAAGUAUGUGAAGCAUCAUUUGGAUGAUGGCGAAUGGGCAUUUAGGCAGAUAUAAGCAUUCAUAUCAUAUUAAGAAAAAAAAAGCAACCUCUGAAAAUUCCUUAUCCCUGAAUUACUGAGAGAUUUCAGCCUUUAUUCUUUUCUGCUUUAAGAAAUGUUUUAUAUAAAGCCGCCAGAGGGCCAGUAAGGAAAAUAGUAAUUAUGUUUAAACAGCCAACACUUCACUAACAUAAAAUAUUUGUACAGGCUCUUAAACAUGAAGUUAAGUGCCAGAGGCUAUUUUCAUUGUUUAAUGUAUUAAGUAAAUAAAAAUGUAUCUAAGAUGUGGACACACAAUUAGUUUUGAGUUAUUUAUCCUGGAGUUUGUAUGGUUUAGAAAAACUCCAUCUUCUUGGCUGCUGCUGUCCUAAUGCAUUUAACUUCAGCCAUCAGCUAUGAUUAAACACCUGCUGUUGUGGGGAAACAAAGCACACUAAUCCAAUAUGUAUUUCUGACAUCUUAAAUAUCACCCAGUCCCCUGACAUCAGGCACAGCUUUUCAGCGGGAUGGAAUUCCAGAGCAUAUUUUUCUAAUUUAUGGAUGGACAAUAAAUCAAAAUUAAGCCUUGGGCAAUGAAAUAUACAUCAGUGCAGAAUGAACUGACUGCAAACGAGGACCCUGCACAACCGAGGGGAAAAGGAUAUAUUAAUGGAAUCCUAAGCUGCAAACACUGAAGUGAAAAUUAAGGAAGUUUAUUUCACAUUUUAUCCUUAUGAAAACAAAAGACGGAAAAUGAAAAGUUUUCUGUUUUUUCAUGCACAGCACCAGAGGAGCACAUUUACAUUUUUAAAAAAGUGAUUGUUUCCAAAUGCUGUUAUGUGAGUGAUUAAAAAAUCUCCUCUGCUCUUUUUCUUAUUUUCAAUAUUUAAGAGAGUUUGAAGGGCUUAGCAUGGUUUCAGUGUUCCUUUUCUGGAAGAAUGAACAAAGGCCAUUGUUGACAGUCGUCAGCUUCUCCUGCGAGGGCAGCCUUCCAUUCAGCUGGACUGGCUGGGCUGGGAGCUGUCCAGUGAUGAAUGAAUCUUCCUUGGACUGACCUCCAGCUAUCCUGGAACCUGGAGACAAGAGGUGACCUGAGAGCUUUGCCCUCAUCAACGGCCCUCAGGAACCUCAUGUGUAGGGCCACUACCCUGCUCUGGCCACCUGGCUCUGUCCACCCCAGACCCUGGGCUGAGGUCACAUUGGAGCUGCAGAGGUGGCUUAUCCUUCUUGCCCUUGAUGUUACCAAUCACCAUAUGUCUUCAACAGAGCAUGCCAAGACAGGGUCUUGCUCUAUUGCCCAGGCUGGAGUGCAGUGGCACAAUCUCAGCUCAUUGCAGCCUCGACCUCCCAGGCUGAGAUGAUCCUCCCGCCUCAGCCUCCUGAGUAGCUGGGACUACAGGCGCGCACCACCAUGCCUGCUGAUUUUUUGUAGAGACGGAGUCUCGCCGUGCUGCACAGACUAGUCUCGAACUCCUGAAGCUCAAGUCAUCUGCCCACCUCAGCCUCCCAAAGUGCUGGGAUUUCAGGUGUGAGCCACCAUGCCCAGCCAUAUUCUUUUUUUUUUUUCAAUUGAAGUGAAAUUCACAUAACAUAAAAUUAACUAUUUAAACUGAACAAUUCAGUGGCGUUUAAUACAUUUACAAUGUUGUACUACUACAACCUCUGUCUAGUUCCAAAACAUUUUUAUUACCCCCUCAAAAAGCCCAUACAUUGUAAGCAGUAACUUCCCCUUUUUCCCCUCCUCCCAGCCCUUGACAACCACCAAUCUGCUUUCUGUAUGGAUUGAUCUAUUCUGGAUAUUUCAUAUAAAUGGAG